rnacentral:lncRNA from 1 species
UUUUUUCUGCAUCUGCAGGAGUUUAGUAUAAAGAGGACAUAAAAAACAGCGAGGAUAUGUCUUGAUAUGUCCUGAGUGAGGGCCUUGCUGGUAUAAAUAAAAAGAGUUAACUGAAAAUGGUGGAGUCAUCCACCAGUUGAAGAUCCUGUCUGUUUUAUUUAAUCUUCAGCUCAGACCAUUGGGAUCAUGAUUUUGUUUACCUGUGUUUAAUAGGCUAAUUUCCACUGCAAUUUAAAUUUGUUUGAAUGAAUGUUGAGGAAGGACAUCAAGAUCUGAGCUUUUGCUGACCUAAUGUAUUAGAUGAACUCACUUCAGGAUAUGGUUCCUUUCUGCGCGUCAGUAUAAUUUAAUUAAGUGGAUCAAUCUAGAAUAUUGAAUGUAUUUCUUUCAGAGUAAACCUUUUAUUUAUCUCCUUCAGAAUAAAACACUUCUCUAAGGAAAAGAUGAAAAGAUUACUUUUUAUUGAUAUGACCAUGGUGUAAUAAUAAUUGAGACUCUUUGUAAGGUAUGGCAUUUUUCUGCUUCCAAGGUAUCAUGUAAGCACAUUAUCACUGCCUGUAAAUGACAGACUCUCCAGACUAACCUCAUUCAGUCAAGAACCAAGGGAAUAAGCAUUGCAGGAAGACUUCCAAACCCAAAGAUUUGUGAAUUACAAAGGAAGUGAAAGCUUUUCAGGCCUUUGAUAAAAUUCCUUAGAAAUAGCAUCAGUUCAAGACCUAUCAAGUUGAUGUGGUUAAGGUUUUUUCAGGUUUCUCUCAGGAGCACUCAACCCAAGCAUUCUGUCAG